rnacentral:rRNA from 1 species
GACGAACGCUGGCGGCGUGCUUAACACAUGCAAGUCGAACGGAAAGGCCUCUUUCGGGGGGUACUCGAGUGGCGAACGGGUGAGUAACACGUGAGUAACCUGCCCUUGACUUUGGGAUAACUUCAGGAAACUGGGGCUAAUACCGGAUAGGAGCUCCUGCUGCAUGGUGGGGGUUGGAAAGUUUCGGCGGUUGGGGAUGGACUCGCGGCUUAUCAGCUUGUUGGUGGGGUAGUGGCUUACCAAGGCUUUGACGGGUAGCCGGCCUGAGAGGGUGACCGGCCACAUGGGGACUGCGAGAGGCACCAGUCUCCAACGGGGGGCAAUGGGGGGAAAUAUGGUCCAGGGGGGGGGCGCGUGUGGCGACAACCCUCGGGGCGGGAAGCCGGUUUUUGGGUUGAAAACCGCUUCCGGUUAAUACCAAGCUUUUUUGGCGGGAAGUGGGUAAAAAACACCGGCUAACUUCGUG